rnacentral:rRNA from 1 species
UAGGGAAUCUUCGGCAAUGGGGGGAACCCUGACCGAGCAACGCCGCGUGAGUGAAGAAGGAUUUCGGUUCGUAAAACUCUGUUGUUAGAGAAGAACAGCGCAUAGAGUAACUGUUAUGCGUGUGACGGUAUCUAACCAGAAAGCCACGGCUAACUACGUGCCAGCAGCCGCGGUAAUACGUAGGUGGCAAGCGUUGUCCGGAUUUAUUGGGCGUAAAGCGAGCGCAGGCGGUCAAUUAAGUCUGAUGUGAAAGCCCACGGCUCAACCGUGGAGGGUCAUUGAAAACUGGAAAACUUGAGUGCAGAAGAGGAAAGUGGAAUUCCAUGUGUAGCGGUGAAAUGCGCAGAGAUAUGGAGGAACACCAGUGGCGAAGGCGACUUGCUGGUCUGUAACUGACGCUGAUGUGCGAAAGCGUGGGGAUCAAACAGG